rnacentral:rRNA from 1 species
GACGAACGCUGGCGGCGUGCUUAACACAUGCAAGUCGAACGGAAAGGCCCUGCUUUUGUGGGGUGCUCGAGUGGCGAACGGGUGAGUAACACGUGAGUAACCUGCCCUUGACUUUGGGAUAACUUCAGGAAACUGGGGCUAAUACCGGAUAGGAGCUCCUGCUGCAUGGUGGGGGUUGGAAAGUUUCGGCGGUUGGGGAUGGACUCGCGGCUUAUCAGCUUGUUGGUGGGGUAGUGGCUUACCAAGGCUUUGACGGGUAGCCGGCCUGAGCGGGUGACCGGCGACAUUGGGACUGAGAUACGGCGCAGACUCGUACGGGGGGCAGCAGUGGGGAAUAUUGCACAAUGGGCGGAAGCCUGAUGCAGCAGCGCCGCGUGCGGGAUGACGGCCUUCGGGUUGUAAACCGCUUUCGCCUGUGACGAAGCGUGAGUGACGGUAAUGGGUAAAGAAGCAUCGGCUAACUACGUG